rnacentral:rRNA from 1 species
GUGGGGAAUCUUGCGCAAUGGGCGAAAGCCUGACGCAGCCAUGCCGCGUGAAUGAUGAAGGUCUUAGGAUUGUAAAAUUCUUUCACCGGGGACGAUAAUGACGGUACCCGGAGAAGAAGCCCCGGCUAACUUCGUGCCAGCAGCCGCGGUAAUACGAAGGGGGCUAGCGUUGCUCGGAAUUACUGGGCGUAAAGGGCGCGUAGGCGGACAUUUAAGUCAGGGGUGAAAUCCCGGGGCUCAACCUCGGAACUGCCUUUGAUACUGGGUGUCUUGAGUAUGAGAGAGGUGUGUGGAACUCCGAGUGUAGAGGUGAAAUUCGUAGAUAUUCGGAAGAACACCAGUGGCGAAGGCGACACACUGGCUCAUUACUGACGCUGAGGCGCGAAAGCGUGGGGAGCAAACAGGAUUAGAAACCCUUGUAGUCC